AAUUUAAACCAAUUCUUAUGAAAUAACCCUGUUAUUAAAACAUAUAUAUAAAAGAUCUUUAUUUUUUUGCGUUUAUCUGAUUAUUGAGCUACAUUAAAAAAAGUUAAACCAGUACUUCCGUUAUUGUAACUCUGACUAAUGAGAUUUCUGGGAUUUCUAACCCUAUGAAUAAAAUGUUCAGAGUUGUAGUGAACCUGAAAAGAAAAGAAAAUAUAUAUUUAUACAUUUUUCUUUCGUGUUUAUUUUGUUUAUGUUGAUCCUGAACCUGCAUGUAGAACCGAAGGGGUUUGGUCACGUGACCAGCCGGCACCGCCUACUGAAAACAUACUUUUAUAUUAAUUUUUUAAAAAUUGUUUUUAUGUUUAAUUUUGCAUUUCAGUUUUGUUUACUGUAAAUGUUUACUGUUUUAAAACUUUACAAACUGGUCUUGUUUGUUCAGUUAUGGUCUAUAAAAUAUAUAGUAUUGGGUAUAAUUUAAGUGAAAGGUGAAGAUUUAUUUAUUUAUUUAUUUAUUUAUUUGAAAUAAAUCAUGCUGCUUAAGACCAGCUCACUUAGAUAUCUGUAAAAAAAAUAUUUAAAGGUUUUUGUAAAAUAUUUUGAAGAGGGAGACAAAAAAAAGGAGGAAACCUUUAACAGACUGAAAAUGGGUGAUCGUUCAUUUUGAUGUGACUGAACUCUCUAAUCUAAUCUCUAAUCUCAGCAUUUAAUCCGUUCAUCAUUUAAUGUCACCCACUAUAAUUGAAAUAAUUUUUAUUUCAAUCGAUUAAAUAAUGACACGUCAUGUUUUUUUUUUUGUUUUUUUUUUAUCUAUUUAUGGUGUCCUUAGAGGCUAUGUGUAGGUUGUUACUAUAGAAACGAAAAGGAAUGAACCCCUCCUGACCAAUCAGCAUCGAGAGCUCAAUCAUUCCAGGAAAUUGAAAUGAACCAUUUAUUUGUUUGAUAACACACACACACACAUGUCUCUUUCUUCUUUAUCCACAGGAGGUUAAAUGACGAGCCCUGCUCCAGUAGAGGACCGGUGUUAUGUGGGCGUGGAUGUGGGCAGCAGCAGCGUUCGAGCCGCGCUGGUCUCUCAUGAUGGACGCGUUAUAGCCACGGCAGAGGAGGCCAUACACAUCUGGCAGCCUCAGACAGACCAUUACGAACAAUCCUCAGACGACAUCUGGAGGAAAUGCUGCAGCACCGUGAAGAGAGUGACUGAAGGCAUAGUGAAGCAGCGUGUAAGAGGGAUUGGGUUCGAUGCCACGUGCUCGUUGGUGGUUCUGGAUGAGAAUUUUCAGGCUGUAGCUGUUAAUAAAGAUGGUGUCACAGGGAGGAACGUGGUGAUGUGGAUGGACCACAGAGCCACAGAACAGGCGUCUCGCAUCACAGCCACAGCUCACCGAGUCCUGAGCGCCGUGGGAGGAGUGAUGUCUCCUGAAAUGCAGCCGCCAAAGUUACUGUGGCUGAAAGAGAAUCUGAGGCAGAGCUGCUGGAAGGAAGCUGCACACUUCUUCGACCUGCCAGACUUUUUAUCCUGGAAGGCAACAGGUUCAUUAGCAAGAUCACUGUGUACUCUGGUGUGUAAGUGGACCUAUUCUCCUCUAGACGGCUGGGACGACAGUUUCUGGGCCGGCAUCGGACUUGAGGACUUGACUGAGAAUAAAUAUUCAAAAAUCGGACGGUACACGUGUCGUCCCGGCAACCCACUCCAGCAAGGACUGACUCCGGAGGCAGCAGAGGAUUUGGGUCUGGAGGCGGGAACAGCCGUGGGAGCGUCUCUGAUCGACGCCCACGCGGGAGGACUGGGCGUUAUCGGAGCGGACGUGAGCGGCCAUCACCUGCCGUGUGAAAAUCAGCCAAUCACAUCGCGCCUUGCUCUGAUCUGUGGAACCUCUUCCUGUCACAUGGCUGUGAGCCAGACGCCUCUGUUUGUUCCAGGUGUGUGGGGUCCCUACCUGUCCGCCAUGGUUCCAGACCUGUGGCUUAACGAAGGCGGUCAGAGCGCUACAGGAAAACUGAUUGACCAUGUGGUGACCGGACACGCUGCUUUCUCUCAGCUGAAGGAGCGAGCAGAGAAAAGUGGAGUGAAUAUUUACUCUUUCCUAAACGGAUAUCUCGAGGAAAUGGCCAAAGACCUGAAGAACCCCGACAAACUGACCUCCGGCCUGCACGUCUGGCCCGAUUUCCACGGCAACCGAUCCCCUCUUGCUGACCAGAGCUUAAAGGGCAUGGUUGUUGGUCUGUCUUUAUCUCACACACUGGAAGACUUGGCUCUUCUCUACCUCGCUACUGUCCAAGCCACCGCUCUCGGCACCAGACACAUCCUGGAAGCACUGAGAGAAGCAGGACAUGACAUCACGACCGUGUUCCUGUGUGGAGGACUCAGUAAGAACCCUCUGUUCGUCAGGAUGCACGCCAACGUCACGGGUUUGCCGAUGGUCCUGCCUGCAGAGAGAGAGGCCGUGUUGGUCGGUGCUGCUGUUCUGGGAGCCUGCGCCUCACACGACUACACCUCCAUUCAGGCGUAUGUUCUUCAGUGUAAGCUGUGCUUCACGUUCUCGGGCUUGUCGUGUCAGACAGACGUGCAGCAUGGAGCAUGUGUGCUUUAUUCAUGACACCACUAACCCACAUCCCAAACCACCUUUAUUGGGUCAGCGUCCUAAAUCUAAAUAAAGGAAGCCAUGGAGAAAAUGGGCAAAGUAGGACAUGUGGUUCGACCUAACCUCGAGCUCGAGAGUGUUCGCUUCAGUGUGACACAACGCCGUGUCGCUUAGCUACAGAAACGUACGAUGGCCGAGAAACAACAUAACAAAUCCGAAAACACAACAACGAUUCAGACAAAGCGGAAAAGCUGGGUAUAGUUUUUGCGAAUGGAAUCCUUGGAUUGGACGAGACAUCGGUCACUCAGGAUAUACUGGAAGUCCAGCAGUAGCUGCAGCAGUAGAAAGCGGAUUAGUGUGUGUAUGAACACAGCUCUGCCCUUACAGCGCUCCUUACAUCCUUUAAUCUGGAAUAGUUUGGUCUUCCAAUCAUACCUGCGUUCCUCAGGUGUGUGUUUAGAGAUCGCAGACUAACCUUUACUCCAUGAUACGCUAUCAGGAUAUCCAAAAUCACGCUGUAUGAUAACGCCCUUCCUCAAAGUAGCGCUGAAUGAAUUCCAUUUUCUUAGAAAUAUGUAAAUAUAUAUGUUUAUUUUCUUCGAUCGAAAGAACUCCAAAACGUACGAUACAUCUAGAUACACAGUUUCUUACUGCUUGUAUAUCCUGAGUGACAGAUUUACUGACAGAUAUCCUGAUCAUUAGUUUGCGAUGUCUAAACACACCUGAAGAACGCAGGUAUGUUCCAGAUUAAAGGAUGUAAGGAGCGCUAUAAGAGCAGAGCUGUGUUCAUACACACACCAAUACACUUUCUACUGCUGGACCUCCGGUACAUCCUGAGUAACCGAUGUCUCGUCCAAUCAGAGGGAAGAAUUCCAUUCACACACUAUUGCUACCUUUUAAGUUGAGUUGUCACAUAUGCAUUACUGCACAGUGAAACUCUUUCUUCACAUAUACCAUCCUGGUGGGUUGGGGUCAGAGCACAGGGUCAGCCAUGAUGCACUGCCCCUGGAGUAGGAGGUUAAGGGCCUUGCUCAAGGGCCCAACAGUGGCAGAUUGGUGGUGCUGGGGCUUGAACCCCGAUCUUCCAGUAAACGACCCAAAGCCUUUUGAGCUACCACCGCUAACAUUUUCUCCUUGUGUGAUGAUGUAAGAUGCUGAAAUCUGAAACUGAUUUAAUUAUGCUUGUAUUUAUUUAUUUAAUAAAAAAUUCUGUUCAGUUUUUA